rnacentral:rRNA from 1 species
AUUGAACGCUGGCGGCAUGCUUUACACAUGCAAGUCGAACGGCAGCGCGGGCUUCGGCCUGGCGGCGAGUGGCGAACGGGUGAGUAAUACAUCGGAACGUGCCCAGUAGUGGGGGAUAGCUCGGCGAAAGCCGGAUUAAUACCGCAUACGACCUGAGGGUGAAAGCGGGGGAUCUUCGGACCUCGCGCUAUUGGAGCGGCCGAUGGCAGAUUAGCUAGUUGGUGGGGUAAAGGCCUACCAAGGCGACGAUCUGUAGCUGGUCUGAGAGGACGACCAGCCACACUGGGACUGAGACACGGCCCAGACUCCUACGGGAGGCAGCAGUGGGGAAUUUUGGACGAUGGGCGAAAGCCUGAUCCAGCAAUGCCGCGUGUGUGAUGAAGGACUUCGGGUUGUAAAGCACUUUUGGCGGGAACGAAAAGGACUGUGCCAAUACCACGGUUCGAUGACGGUACCCGCAGAAUAAGCACCGGCUAACUACGUG